rnacentral:tRNA from 1 species
AAGAUUUUAGCUUAAUAAAAGUAUCUGGUUUGCAUCCAGGAGAUGUAGGGUAAUAUCCUGCAAGUCUUA